rnacentral:rRNA from 1 species
AUUGAACGCUGGCGGCAGGCCUAACACAUGCAAGUCGAGCGGAUGACGGGAGCUUGCUCCUUGAUUCAGCGGCGGACGGGUGAGUAAUGCCUAGGAAUCUGCCUGGUAGUGGGGGACAACGUUUCGAAAGGAACGCUAAUACCGCAUACGUCCUACGGGAGAAAGCAGGGGACCUUCGGGCCUUGCGCUAUCAGAUGAGCCUAGGUCGGAUUAGCUUGUUGGUGAGGUAAUGGCUCACCAAGGCGACGAUCCGUAACUGGUCUGAGAGGAUGAUCAGUCACACUGGAACUGAGACACGGUCCAGACUCCUACGGGAGGCAGCAGUGGGGAAUAUUGGACAAUGGGCGAAAGCCUGAUCCAGCCAUGCCGCGUGUGUGAAGAAGGUCUUCGGAUUGUAAAGCACUUUAAGAUGGGAGGAAGGGUUGUAGAUUAAUACUCUGCAAUUUUGACGUUACCGACAGAAUAAGCACCGGCUAACUCUGUGCCAGCCGCCGCGGUAAAAC